UGAGUAACCUGCCCUUAACUCUGGGAUAAACCUGGGAAACUGGGUCUAAUACCGGAUAUGACUCCUCAUCGCAUGUGGGGUGGUGGAAAGUUUUUCGGCUGGGGAUGGGCUCGCGGCCUAUCAGCUUGUUGGUGGGGUAAUGGCCUACCAAGGCGACGACGGGUAGCCGGCCUGAGAGGGCGACCGGCCACACUGGGACUGAGACACGGCCCAGACUCCUACGGGAGCAG
rnacentral:rRNA from 1 species